ACUCCUACGGGAGGCAGCAGUGGGGAAUUUUGGACAAUGGGGGCAACCCUGAUCCAGCCAUGCCGCGUGAGUGAAGAAGGCCUUCGGGUUGUAAAGCUCUUUUCGGCCGGGAAGAAAUCGUAUGGGUUAAUACCCUGUGUGGAUGACGGUACCGGAAUAAGAAGCACCGGCUAACUACGUGCCAGCAGCCGCGGUAAU
rnacentral:rRNA from 1 species